UAGCUCAGGGGUAGAGCAGAGGACUCAUAAGCCUUUGGUCGGGGGUUCAAUUCCCUC
rnacentral:tRNA from 1 species